UUUUGUGUAGAUGCUGUGGAGCGCUAUUAUUUAGGCACGCCCAGUCUGCCAUGCCAAGUGCUCGCUUUGGUUGCUAACUUGUGCCCUCUCCAGCUCGCCGGACCACACCGCAGAACAGCAAUAAUGUCACCAAACACAUGCGUUUGCCUGAUGAUUGUCGUCCUCAGCUUAUUGGUCCUUGUCAUCAGCAGCAGCCUUACUGCAGGUAGCGAGGGCGGAGCACGGGCAUCUUGCGGCGUUAAUGAUCCGAACAACCCCUGUCCAAGAUCGUGCGGUCCGUUCUCACCUUCUUGUCAUUAGCACCUGAGAGCCUGGGAGCUCAUCCUGAUUCUACAAAAUGCAUAAAAUUUGCGAAUAUUAUCUGGUUUCCUUUGUGCUCAUCCUAAUUCUACACAUUUGAAAGAGAUUGCAGUUUCCA